rnacentral:rRNA from 1 species
UACAGAGGGGGCAAGCGUUGUUCGGAAUUACUGGGCGUAAAGGGCGCGUAGGCGGCCUGCUAAGUCGAACGUGAAAUCCCCGAGCUCAACUCGGGAACUGCGUCCGAUACUGACAGGCUUGAAUCCGGGAGAGGGAUGCGGAAUUCCAGGUGUAGCGGUGAAAUGCGUAGAUAUCUGGAGGAACACCGGUGGCGAAGGCGGCAUCCUGGACCGGCAUUGACGCUGAGGCGCGAAAGCAUGGGGAGCGAACAGG